CUGUUGCGAGAACUUGCUACAUUCUGACCGGAACGUAAUGAACCAAAGCGUCCGUUGCUAUGCUGGUUGCUUGGCUCUAUUUGACCUCGUAUCGGUCGCAAAGGAAGGAGGAUGCAGGCAGUUCUAGUUCUAUUUCACAACAAAAUCGCUCGCUCAGUCCACGCAAAAUUAUUACCUCAGAAUUUCUCUCCAAGGACGGUGUUUUUAACGAUGACAACCUGCUGACUACUUGCUGCUUCAGAGGACCGAAAAGACUGGAAAGAGAACACUUUCUUUACCGUAUAUUUGUCAUUAUACAAGUACAAAUAGGAAUAAAUAAUUUAAGAUGUUUUUAGAUUCACGUUACUGUAUUUAUAUACCUCAGCCUGCCUAGUAAGCUAGCCAGCUGGCUAGCCUGACAGUUUUAUUUAGCUAACGUUAGCUAGCUAGCAAGCAAGCUACUGUAACUGUUAAUUGCAGCUUUCUGUUUGUAUGUGACGUUAGCUUGCACUUUAAUGGCAUCCCUCGAGGAGAUUUUAUUUUAUCUUUCUAACCAGGAGAAGUACUAUGAUGACACCACUGAUCUCGACAAGAGGCGCAACAUUCAGAGAAAUUCACAAUUCAGAGUAACUUUAAACAGUUAACUUCUAUUAGAUAACUGGACGGAUUUAGCUAUAUAUAACCAUUUUUCAACAACCGUUUUCAAUCUAACGUUAGCUAAUUACUAACUAUACAUUUAGUUCAGUGGAGCGGAGGCUGCUGAGGAGAGGAUGGCUCAUAAUAUGGAUUAAAUGGAAUGGUAUCCAACGCGUGGUCUCCAUGUGGUUGAUGCCAUACAAUUGACUUCAUUCCAGCCAUUAUUAUGAGCUGCCCUCCCCUCAGCAGCCUCCACUGAUAUAGUUGUAUGUCUGUCAUAUUGAGGUAUCUAGCUACAAAUUAAACCUGAUCAAUCAAAUGGAUAGGUGUAAGCAAUUAUGGUAAUUACAAGUCCUUAACUAGGUGUCUUUGCUAGACAGACAUGGGGGAGGAUGAAAGUGAGAGACAGACAGACACAGAGCAAAUGUACUUAGACUUGAGUAUUUCAACAACUCUUCUUCCAACAAAAAUCACAUCUACCUACGGGGAAAGGAUGGCCAGUCACACAAGAGGGUGAUUUUUACUAAGGAGGAGAAGGAGGCCAUGCUGACCGAGAUGCAUGCUGGCCAUUUCAGAGGGAAGGGCAUGAUUGCCAAAAUCAACCUAUGCUUCUUCUGACGAGGAAUUGUCAAGGAUGUGUACAGCUGGGAAAGUGAAAUAACCUUCUGUUUAUUAAUCACAUUCUAUUAUAUAUGAAAUAUUAUGAUUUCAAUUAAUGUCAUAUUAGAGAGCACACAAUGUUUCAAUUUGUCACUUUUUGCAUAAAGUUCAGUACCCUGUCUAGCCUGCCAGAAGUUUGAGAGGGUGAAGACUGUGGCGCCGGAGUUGAGGCUAAUCAAAGUUGUUUCACCAUGGCACAUGAUCUGAUGAGACUAACAAGGCCACCUUCAAGACGAUGGUGGACAUCUUCAACACCUGCCCCCCAGGAGGUAUCCCAUCCACCAGAACCAGUGAGUUCAGGUCAGUUGGUGGGGGACCAGCUUGAGGAACUAGGGGUUCUGCCCAACACCCAGACAUGGAUCCAACUGAUGUCAUCCAUUACCAACCACCCUCCAACUUUUCAUUACAUAAUCUACAGCUACUGUUCUCAUUAUCUGCUAAGAAAGUUUUCUUGCUCUCAUACCAGGCACAUAAUAUGUGAGAUAACUAAAAACACUGCACUGCAAACACUCAGAACAAAGAGAGCAGCAGUGCCUGGACUUUGCAGUCUCUCUCUUCAAGCUCCCCUUCUGAGACUGGCUAUCAAAGUUCA